rnacentral:rRNA from 1 species
AGUGAACGCUGGCGGUAGGCCUAACACAUGCAAGUCGAACGGCAGCACAGUAAGAGCUUGCUCUUACGGGUGGCGAGUGGCGGACGGGUGAGGAAUACAUCGGAAUCUACUUUUUCGUGGGGGAUAACGUAGGGAAACUUACGCUAAUACCGCAUACGACCUACGGGUGAAAGCAGGGGAUCUUCGGACCUUGCGCGAUUCAAUGAGCCGAUGUCGGAUUAGCUAGUUGGCGGGGUAAAGGCCCACCAAGGCGACGAUCCGUAGCUGGUCUGAGAGGAUGAUCAGCCACACUGGAACUGAGACACGGUCCAGACUCCUACGGGAGGCAGCAGUGGGGAAUAUUGGACAAUGGGCGCAAGCCUGAUCCAGCCAUACCGCGUGAGUGAAGAAGGCCUUCGGGUUGUAAAGCCCUUUUGUUGGGAAAGAAAAGCAGCAGGUUAAUACCCCGCUGUUCUGACGGUACCCAAAGAAUAAGCACCGGCUAACUUCGUG